rnacentral:tRNA from 1 species
GUAAAGUAAACUAAUGGUAAGUUAUUAGGCUCAUAACCUAAAUAUGAAGGUUCGAUUCCUUCCUUUAUA